GGGACUCAGAUUCUCCCCCGACACCGAGGAUGCGGGUCAUGGCGCCCCGAACCCUCCUCCUGCUGCUCUCGGGGGCCCUGGUCCUGACCGAGACCCGGGCGGGCUCCCACUCCCUGCGGUAUUUCUACACCGGCGUGUCCCCGCCCGGCCGCGGGGGGCCCCGCUUCAUGGCCGUGGGCUACGUGGACGACACGCAGCUCGUGCGGUUCGACAGCGACGCCGCGAGUGCGAGGAUGGAGCCGCGGGCGCCGUGGGUGGAGCAGGAGGGGCCGCAGUACUGGGAGCGGGAGACGCGGAACGUCAAGGACACCGCCGAGGCUCAGCGCGUGAACCUGCGGACCGCGCUCGGCGACGACAACCAGAGCCAGGCCGGUGCGUGACCCGGGCCGGUCACAGGUCACGACCCCCAUCUUCCUCAGACGGGCCGGGGUCGUCCCGACACUCGGGUCCCAGAUUCACCGUGAGGCUGCGGGUUCCGCCGAGACAAUCGACCCGGGAAGAGCCCGGGCGGCUUUUACCUGGUUCCAAGUUCGGUUUAGAAAUCGCGGCGCCGGGUCGGGCGGGGGGGGGCGGGGCUGGCGGCGGGGACGGGGCUGGCGGCGGGGGCGGGGCCAGGGUCUCACCCUCCAGAGGUUGUACGGCUGUGACGUGGGUCCUGACGGGCGCCUCCUCCGCGGGUACAGUCAAUACGCCUACGACGGCGCCGAUUACAUCGUCCUGAACGGGGACCUGCGCUCCUGGCCCGCGGCGGACGCGGCGGCUCAGAUCACACGGCGCAAGUGGGAGGCGGCCGGUGUGGCGGAGCAACGGAGGGCCUACCUGGAGGGCAGGUGCGUGGAGUGGCUCCGCAGACACCUGGAGAACGGGAAGGAGACGCUGCAGCGCGCAGAUCCCCCAAAGACACACGUGAGCCAUCACGCCGUCACUGGCAGUGAGGCCACCCUCAGGUGCUGGGCCCUGGGUUUCUACCCUGCGGAAAUCACACUGACCUGGCACAGAGAUGGGGAGGACCAGACCCAGGACACAGAGUUUGUGGAGACCAGGCCUGCAGUGAAUGGAACCUUCAGAAGUGGGCAGCUGUAGUGGUACCUUCUGGAAAGGAGCAGAGAUACACGUGCCAUGUGCAACACAAGGGGCUACCCAGGCCCCUCACUGUGAGAUGGGAGCCACCUCCUCAGCCCACCAUGCUUAUUGUGGGAAUCGUUGCUGGCCUGAUUCUCCUUGGAGCUGUGAUUGCAGGUGUUGUGAUGCGGAGGAAAAAGAGCUCAGGUGGAAAAGGGAGUUACAAUCAGGCUGCCUGCAAUGACAGUGCCCAGGGCUCUGAUGUGUCUCUCACAGCUUGUAAAGUGUGAGACAGCUGCCUUGUGUGGGACUGAGUGAUUCCACAUGAAUUCAACUCCCCCACAACACCACCACUGUGACUUCAAGAGCUCCUCCCUGGCUUCUCUUAAUGCAACUGGCAUCAGGAUGCGUCUGUGUGUCUGUGCUCCUGUUAGCAUAAUGUGAGGAAAUGGUGAGACUGGCCUAUUCCUGAGCACCAAGACCCCUUCCCCACACUGACCUGUGUUCUCUUCCCUGAUCAACUCUCCUGUUCCAGCAGAGGCAGGGCUGGGAUGUCUCCAUCCCUGUCUUAAAUGUAUGUUGCACUGAGCUACAACUUCUUACUUCCCUAUUGAAAAGAAUUAUCUGGAUAUGAAUUUGUUUGCAAAUUCUUGCCAUAGGGUGUGGUCAAUGGGUUAAUUAAAGGAGAAGAAGAUUCUUAAAAUUUGAGAGUAGAAAUAAAACCUGAAAGCUUCCAGAA